rnacentral:rRNA from 1 species
UACGUAGGCAGCAAGCGUUGAUCGGAAUUACUGGGCGUAAAGAGUGUGUAGGCGGUGCUCUAAGUCUGUUGUGAAAUCUCCCGGCUUAACUGGGAGGGUGCGGCGGAGACUGGAGUGCUAGAGUGUGGGAGAGGUAAGCGGAAUUCCUGGUGUAGCGGUGAAAUGCGUAGAUAUCAGGAGGAACACCUGUGGUGUAGACAGCUUACUGGACCACGACUGACGCUGAGACACGAAAGCGUGGGUAGCAAACAGG